AGAGCUGUAAAUUGCUGCAUGGACCCUGCAUUGCCGUUGCAGAUCAAGUUAACUGUGGCAAUGUAAUUUUGAAGCACUGCCAGCAGCCGAAGAAUUUAAUAAAGCCUUGAAAGCAUUGUCCCUAGCUUCAAAUUACACAAUAAUAACACACUUCUCUUCCCGCCUCUGAAUGUCUACAAUGACAAGAAAUGA